GGGGAUUUAGCUCAGUGGUAGAGCGCUUGCCUAGCAAGCGCAAGGUCCUGGGUUAGAUCCCCAGCUCCG
rfam:Rattus norvegicus chromosome 20, whole genome shotgun sequence.